rnacentral:lncRNA from 1 species
ACGUCGCCUCUGGUGUGCAGGCCCCGGGGUUGGUUCGGGGUUUUGUCACUGGGGUUUUGUCUGGGGUGUGCUUCCAGGGGGGCUGCGGCUCUUUAGUGGGGUGGUCAUUGACUGGCUUCUCCUUUUUGCUUCUGGUGGGGAUUUCCAUGGACUCGGCAGGGAUUGCGUUCUUGUCUUUCUCCGGGCCCCGAACUGCUCUCGCACCUGCCCGGUCGACUUCAAUAUUGUAUUCACGUGCCGCUUUGGCGAGAGAUGUGGUGUCGGCCUUCAGGUUUGGGUCCCGUUCAUGUUCUUUUGGCCUUCUACUAAGAGGUCUGGUUGUUACCCCAAUGUAUGACUGGUCUUCCCCGGUGGUGUUGUUUCUGGUGGGGAUCUG